rnacentral:lncRNA from 1 species
CGUACUUCCCGCCGGGCCGAGAUCCGGUCAUCAUCGAGCGGCUUGCCAGUGAAACGCGUCUGCACACCAUUCGAUGGGCUCAGGUGCGACACGUGAACUGCAUUUCGUGCACGGGCGCGCAGUACGGACGGACAUCAGCAAUAUGUUAUCCUCGGCGACGAAACGUCCGGAGUAUGUUGACGGAGAUGUUUCGUGGUCGACAGGUGCAUAACGCGCAAAGGAAGGGCAUGCCUGCAACGUUGACAUGCUUGUGACAGAUGCUGGGGCCAAGACUCGUAUGCGAUGUAUUUGUAAGGACGAAGUCUGGCUGGCUUUGGUCAUUACCUGCCAAGGCUGUCGUGUCGAAGGUAUGAGUGAGAUGACUUUGUGCAGGAGAUGAAACGUCGUCGCCCGCGCACUUCCCAGAACAGCAUUUUGGCACCAACGACCGACUUUAUCUGAUCCAACGGUAAACAACAGGUCCAUGCGGCAUUGGCCCAGGUCGUGCCGCCAGAAUUCGUACACUGCAAUCACGCGGCCACGGGGUACGACGAAAUCUGGGACGAGCAGGGGAUGGAUAACGGUACGGACGUAGACGAGUCAGCAACCGCAACAACGGCAAUGGCGUCCUCGCCAUCAGCUGUCAGGCCAGCUCACCGUGCUGUCGUACACUUCCGAGACCAACCCAGCGUAACGGCCAAGCUGGUGGUGGGAGCUGACGGAGUGUUUUCACCCAUUCGAGCUGCCAUGUACCCCAACGACCCUGGCCCGCGGUAAGGACCUCCGUGAAUUGGUGCUGGAGCCUUUACCGAUUUGGUGCAACAGCCACGUACUUAUCGUCCCUGUUGAUGUGCCCCUUUUCCAACCCCCUAGCAUCCCUCUCCCUGACCUCCGUUCCCUCCUCCUCCACGCUGCCUCAGCUACCUGGGCCACAUGAACUGGAACUGCCUGAUCUACAACCCCGGGGGCAACACAGUGGCACACGCACACGAACCAGGUGUGUACGGCUAGCUGGAUGUACGGCAGUGCGGUCUGCACUGUCAUGAGCACGGUACUACUGUAAUUUCCAUCGCCGCAUGCGCGGCUAGCCUUCAGCGGAGGUGGAGAUGGGCUUUCCUGACUCAAAAUUGAGGGAGGGGAAUUGUGCCGCAAUGUCACUUCCCAACUCAUCGGUCGAUUUGCUCGACUCAAAUGGAUUUCGAUUUCGUCCUCCGAGCUCGACACAGCUCUUCCACAUGAAUCUGAACUCGUCAGGUCAACUGUGUAUCGCCAACAACGGUUUGUUGGGAGCCGAGUUGAUCGACCCCUCGCUCUUCGCCAUCGUCUGUGAUGCGGGUGGCGGUUACACCUUCUGGCAGGUACGGGCGGAUGGUCUGGGCGGUGUUGUGAGGGACACAGUGGACGUCCACCGGGGGACCUCUGAAACGUCAAGUUAAUUAACAUAAAACACCGACAGAGGUACAUUUUUCAUUUUGGGAUGUAUUGCACUGGUGCAGGUACGGAUGCGCUACGACGAGCCCUGCUUCACGUCCCAAUUGGCACAGCCGCCGCCAAGGGAGGCAAACGGCACAGGUGCUGCUGGUGCUGCUACUGGCGGUGCCCCCAACGGUGACAGCGAUGCAAGUGGCAGCGGUGGCGCCCGACGUGGUCGUGGCGGGCAGGGUGUUCCUGGCAGCAAGGCGCGAGUCAUUGAGCGACUCCAGGUGAGGUGAUACACGACCUCAUGUGGGGGGAGGGAAGAGAGGGAGGGGGGAUGCUGAGUGCUCCUACAUGCCCACCCAUACGCGCAGCUCCUUCUGUUGUACCGCACCUACCCUACCAUAGCACCCCUUCCCUGCGCCUAAAUCCAACGCAACCGCGCUCACCCCUCCCCUCCUCCCCAGUCCGCCGGU